AUAUGCCUGGCUCCCUGUAUGCCACUCGCACGGCUACCACACCCCCGGUGGCCGCUGCGGCUGGCGUGCGAGGUGCCAAGCAUGG
rnacentral:pre_miRNA from 1 species